AUUGAACGCUGGCGGAAUGCUUUACACAUGCAAGUCGAACGGCAGCACGGACUUCGGUCUGGUGGCGAGUGGCGAACGGGCGAGUAAUACAUCGGAACGUGCCCAGUCGUGGGGGAUAACGUAGCGAAAGCUACGCGAAUACCGCAUACGAUCUAAGGAUGAAAGCGGGGGAUCGCAAGACCUCGCGCGAUUGGAGCGGCCGAUGGCAGAUUAGGUAGUUGGUGGGGUAAAGGCUCACCACGCCGACGAUCUGUAGCUGGUAUAAGAGGACGACCAGCCACACUGGGACUGAGACACGGCCCAGGCUCCUACGUGAGGCAGCAGUGGGGAAUCUUGGGCAAUGGACGAAAGUCUGAGCCAGCAAUGCCGCGUGAGUGAAGAAGGCCUUCGUGUUGGAAAGCUCUUUUGUCGGUGAAGAAAACUUUAGUAACAACACUAUUAAAGCAUGACGGUAACUGAAGAAUAAGGACCGGCUAACUACGUGCCAGCAGCCGCGGUAA
rnacentral:rRNA from 1 species